UACAGAGGGUGCAAGCGUUGUUCGGAAUUACUGGGCGUAAAGCGCGUGUAGGCGGCCUGCUAAGUCUCGUGUGAAAGCCCCGGGCUCAACCCGGGAAGUGCGCGAGAUACUGGCUGGGCUUGAGUGGUGGAGAGGGUGGCGGAAUUCCCGGUGUAGAGGUGAAAUUCGUAGAUAUCGGGAGGAACACCUGUGGCGAAGGCGGCCACCUGGACACUGACUGACGCUGAGACGCGAAAGCGUGGGUAGCAAACAGG
rnacentral:rRNA from 1 species